AGGCCAUUGUUGUUCAGCCAAGGAUGACUUGCCGGUAGCUUUGUAUAUAUAUAACUUUACUCUAUAUUCGGUUUAUAUUAUGGAUUGGAGAUUAUGCUUAAAUAUUUUUAGUUGAUAUUUUUUCGUACGUAAUAUAAUACGAAAAAAUAUUUACUUAUUUAUAUAUGUGUUGGGGUGAGAUGUGUAACAAAGCAAGCCCGGCAAAUCAUCUCUGGCUAUGCAACUGCCUCU